UCCGGUUUAACACCGGCAGUCCUUUCAGAGUGCCCAACUUAAUGGUGGCAACUAAAAGCAAGGGUUGCGCUCGUUGCGGGACUUAACCCAACAUCUUACGACACGAGCUGACGACAGCCAUGCAGCACCUAUCUCACUGUCCCCGAAGGGAACACCACAUCUCUGUGGCUGUCAGUGGAUGUUAAGCCCAGGUAAGGUUCUGCGCGUUGCUUCGAAUUAAACCACAUACUCCACCGCUUGUGCGGGCCCCCGUCAAUUCCUUUGAGUUUUAACCUUGCGGCCGUACUCCCCAGGCGGUCAACUUCACGCGUUAGCUUCGUUACCAAGGAAUUGCUUCCCCGACAACCAGUUGACAUAGUUUAGGGCGUGGACUAC
rnacentral:misc_RNA from 1 species